rnacentral:rRNA from 1 species
AUUGAACGCUGGCGGCAUGCCUUACACAUGCAAGUCGAACGGCAGCACGGGAGCAAUCCUGGUGGCGAGUGGCGAACGGGUGAGUAAUAUAUCGGAACGUGCCCAGUCGUGGGGGAUAACGCAGCGAAAGCUGUGCUAAUACCGCAUACGAUCUAAGGAUGAAAGCGGGGGAUCGCAAGACCUCGCGCGAUUGGAGCGGCCGAUAUCAGAUUAGCUAGUUGGUGGGGUAAAGGCCCACCAAGGCGACGAUCUGUAGCUGGUCUGAGAGGACGACCAGCCACACUGGAACUGAGACACGGUCCAGACUCCUACGGGAGGCAGCAGUGGAGAAUUUUGGACAAUGGGCGCAAGCCUGAUCCAGCAAUGCCGCGUGCAGGAUGAAGGCCUUCGGGUUGUAAACUGCUUUUGUACGGAACGAAACGACCCUUUCCAAUACAGGGGGCUAAUGACGGUACCGUAAGAAUAAGCACCGGCUAACUACGUGCCAGCAGCCGCCGUAA